AUUGAACGCUGGCGGCAGGCUUAACACAUGCAAGUCGAGCGGGGAUAGGGUGCUUGCACCUGAUUCCUAGCGGCGGACGGGUGAGUAAUGCUUAGGAAUCUGCCUAUUAGUGGGGGACAACGUUCCGAAAGGGACGCUAAUACCGCAUACGUCCUACGGGAGAAAGCAGGGGAUCUUCGGACCUUGCGCUAAUAGAUGAGCCUAAGUCGGAUUAGCUAGUUGGUGGGGUAAAGGCCUACCAAGGCGACGAUCUGUAGCGGGUCUGAGAGGAUGAUCCGCCACACUGGGACUGAGACACGGCCCAGACUCCUACGGGAGGCAGCAGUGGGGAAUAUUGGACAAUGGGGGCAACCCUGAUCCAGCCAUGCCGCGUGUGUGAAGAAGGCCUUUUGGUUGUAAAGCACUUUAAGCGAGGAGGAGGCUUACCUGGUUAAUACCUGGGAUAAGUGGACGUUACUCGCAGAAUAAGCACCGGCUAACUCUGUG
rnacentral:rRNA from 1 species